AGAUUUGGCCACUUCUCUUCAGGGGGAGAUAUGGAGUAAGGAGGAAGAGAAGUUGCCGCUUGACAUUGGUGAUGAACACUUGUCUGAUGUCGGUGAUGGUGCAAAUUUGCCUAAUGAUGAGGCACAAGGUGAAAAAAUAUUGAAGGUGUAUGAGAGGACAAGAAAAAAGGGAGAUAAAGAAAAAAGGGAUGAUGAGAUAGACCACCCACAGACAGAUCCCCACAUUGACCAACUCUCUGACCAAUCAGCUGCUACUCGUACGAAUUAUCCUGAGGUAACCACUCAUUCUCCCU
rnacentral:lncRNA from 1 species